rnacentral:rRNA from 1 species
CAAUAGCGUAUAUUAAAGUUGUUGCAGUUAAAAAGCUCGUAGUUGGAUUUCUGGUUGAAGCGACCGGUCGGGCGUUGAUUCGUCUGCACUGGAGUCGGUUUUGGCCAUCCUCUAGGAAAGUGCGUCUGGUAUUAAGUUAUCGGGCGUAUGAUCCUGGUCUUUUACGGUGAAAAAAUUAGAGUGUUUAAAGCAGGCCUUCGCCUUGAAUACAUUAGCAUGGAAUAAUAAGAUAGGACUUUGGUCUAUUUUGUUGGUUUGCAGACCGAAGUAAUGAUUAAUAGGGAUAGUUGGGGGUAUUUAUAUUCCGAUGUCAGAGGUGAAAUUCUUAGAUUUUCGGAAGAUAAACUUAUGCGAAAGCAUUUACCAAGGAUGUUUUCAUUAA